rnacentral:rRNA from 1 species
AGCUAAUAGAUACCCUGGUAGUCCAUGCCCUAAACGAUGUCUACUAGUUGUUGGUGGAGUAAAAAAUCCAUGAGUAAACGCAGCUAACGCGUGAAGUAGACCGCCUGGGGAGUACGGUCGCAAGAUUAAAACUCAAAGGAAUUGACGGGGGCCGCACAAGCGGUGGAUUAUGUGGAUUAAUUCGAUGCAACGCGAAAACCCUUAACCUGGCCUUGACAUGCCACUAACGAAGCAGAGAUGCAUUAGGUGCCCGUAAGGGAAAGUGGACACAGGUGCUGCAUGGCUGUCGUCAGCUCGUGUCGUGAGAUGUUGGGUUUAAGUCCCGCAACGAGCGCAACCCUUGCCAUUAAUUGCCAUCAUUUAGUUGGGCACUUUAAUGGGACUGCCGGUGACAAACCGGAGGAAGGUGGGGUAUGACGUCAAGUCCUCAUGGCCCUUAUGGCCAGGGCUUCACACGUAAUACAAUGGUCGGUACAGAGAGUUGCCAACCCGCGAGGGGUAGCUAAUCUCAGAAAGCCGAUCGUAGUCCGGAUUGUUCU